rnacentral:rRNA from 1 species
UACGAAGGGGGGCUAGCGUUGCUCGGAAUCACUGGGCGUAAAGCGCACGUAGGCGGAUUGCUAAGUCAGGGGUGAAAUCCUGGAGCUCAACUCCAGAACUGCCUUUGAUACUGACGAUCUCGAGUCCGGGAGAGGUGAGUGGAACUGCGAGUGUAGAGGUGAAAUUCGUAGAUAUUCGCAAGAACACCAGUGGCGAAGGCGGCCACCUGGACGGUAACUGACGCUGAGACGCGAAAGCGUGGGGAGCAAACAGGG